UAUAAAAAUUAAAUCUAAAAAAUUACAUAUAUUUUACUCAAUUAAGGAGAGGAAGUGCAUUAUCUUGCAGAUCAUGAAUUUCAAAAAAGUUCUAGUUGCAGUAUUUUUCAUUGUGAUUUUUGCAACAAAUAUUGAAGCUAAUGGAGAGAUGAAAUUGUCUUGUAAAGCAAAAUGUAAAAUUUUAUGUAUCUACAAUCCUUUUUGCAUGGAAAAGUGCCUGAAGGAAUGUGAUCGUUCUAUUUCUCCCAAAAACCUGAAUUGUCAGUUAAGUUGUUCAACUGAACGUUGCUCCGAGUUUAAAGAAGAUGAGAAGUUAAUGCGAAGCUGCUUGGAUGAAUGUGCAACAAAAUAUUGCAAUGGCAUGUAAUUUAUGUUAUUGGUCUUUGGCUAACUAAAGCAAAGCAUUGAAAACAAACUAGAAAAAAAUAUGCUAUCUUGAUGACUCUAAUUGUAAUCAAGAUUUGAAGUUUUAAUAAAAUAAUAUGUUUGUGACAA